rnacentral:rRNA from 1 species
AACGAACGCUGGCGGCAUGCCUAACACAUGCAAGUCGAACGAGACCUUCGGGUCUAGUGGCGCACGGGUGCGUAACGCGUGGGAAUCUGCCCCUUGGUUCGGAAUAACAGUUAGAAAUGACUGCUAAUACCGGAUGAUGACGGAAGUCCAAAGAUUUAUCGCCGAGGGAUGAGCCCGCGUAGGAUUAGCUAGUUGGUGAGGUAAAGGCUCACCAAGGCGACGAUCCUUAGCUGGGUCUGAGAGGAUGAUCAGCCACACUGGGACUGAGACACGGCCCAGACUCCUACGGGAGGCAGCAGUGGGGAAUAUUGGACAAUGGGCGAAAGCCUGAUCCAGCAAUGCCGCGUGAGUGAUGAAGGCCUAGGUCGUAAAGCUCUUUACCAGGGAUGAUAAUGACAGUACCUGGAGAAUAAGCUCCGGCUAACUCCGUGCCAGCAGCCGCGGU